rnacentral:rRNA from 1 species
GACGAACGCUGGCGGCGUGCUUAACACAUGCAAGUCGAACGGAAAGGCCCUGCUUUUGUGGGGUGCUCGAGUGGCGAACGGGUGAGUAACACGUGAGUAACCUGCCCUUGACUUUGGGAUAACUGCAGGAAACUGGGGCUAAUACCGGAUAGGAGCUCCUGCUGCAUGGUGGGGGUUGGAAAGUUUCGGCGGUUGGGGAUGGACUCGCGGCUUAUCAGCUUGUUGGUGGGGUAGUGGCUUACCAAGGCUUUGACGGGUAGCCGGCCUGAGAGGGUGACCGGCCACAUUGGGACUGAGAUACGGACCAGACUCCUACGGGAGGCAGCAGUGGGGAAUAUUGCACAAUGGGCGGAAGCCUGAUGCAGCAACGCCGCGUGCGGGAUGACGGCCUUCGGGUUGUAAACCGCUUUCGCCUGUGACGAAGCGUGAGUGACGGUAAUGGGUAAAGAAGCACCGGCUAACUACGUG